rnacentral:rRNA from 1 species
ACGAACGCUGGCGGCGUGCCUUACACAUGCAAGUCGAACGGUAGAGGGGCAACCCUUGAGAGUGGCGAACGGGUGAGUAAUGCAUCGGAACGUGCCCAGUCGUGGGGGAUAACGCAGCGAAAGCUGUGCUAAUACCGCAUGUGAUCUGUGGAUGAAAGCAGGGGACCGCAAGGCCUUGUGCGAUUGGAGCGGCCGAUGUCAGAUUAGCUAGUUGGUAGGGUAAAAGCCUACCAAGGCGACGAUCUGUAGCUG